rnacentral:rRNA from 1 species
AGUGAACGCUGGCGGUAGGCCUAACACAUGCAAGUCGAACGGCAGCACAGUAAGAGCUUGCUCUUACGGGUGGCGAGUGGCGGACGGGUGAGGAAUACAUCGGAAUCUACUUUUUCGUGGGGGAUAACGUAGGGAAACUUACGCUAAUACCGCAUACGACCUACGGGUGAAAGCAGGGGAUCUUCGGACCUUGCGCGAUUGAAUGAGCCGAUGUCGGAUUAGCUAGUUGGCGGGGUAAAGGCCCACCAAGGCGACGAUCCGUAGCUGGUCUGAGAGGAUGAUCAGCCACACUGGAACUGAGACACGGUCCAGACUCCUACGGGAGGCAGCAGUGGGGAAUAUGGGACAAUGGGCGCAAGCCUGAUCCAGCCAUACCGCGUGUGUGAAGAAGGCCUUCGGGUUGUAAAGCCCUUUUGUUGGGAAAGAAAAGCAGCAGGUUAAUACCCCGCUGUUCUGACGGUACCCAAAGAAUAAGCACCGGCUAACUUCGUG